GGGUCCACUUGAUUUUAGGGAAUUAAAGUAUUAUGUAAAGAAGAGUUAGUGGUAGGGGCCACUUAGUCUAUUUAAAAUUCUGGUAACGAUAUGAAUAAAUAUCACAGAAGCAAUUAUUCUUUUUAGUGGUUUUACAAACAACUUUGCCGAAAAUGAAGGCUAUAAGAGGACGAACAAAUAGGGUGAGUGGGUCUGUGAGUUAUAAAAGUGGAGAGACUAAGAGAGAUCAAAGAUAUCUUGAUUUCAAAGUUUAGAAAUGGAGAGAAAAAUAGUGUGGGCACUGUGAGAUAGUGGUUGGAAAAUCAAAAGAGUGAAUUUUACUUGGUGGAAAGAACGUGAGCUUGGAAGAGGUGAAAGUUUAGGCUGUGAAUCUUGAGCAAAGAAAGGAAGCUAAGGUUAACUAUGGUAAGGGAAGCUGACCAUUGUUAUGCGUUUAGUAAUUGUUAUUCUCUAUUGUGUUUCUCGCUAUGCUCUAUCUCAGUACUACUUGUUAUCUGAUCAAAAUGUG
rnacentral:lncRNA from 1 species